UGAAGCUUAAUUAGCCUCUUUCUUGCCGUACUGAUUUGAGAUUGCUGCAAUAGUGAGUAAGGUCAGGUAUCAUAUGGAAGAACUGUGCCAGCACAUUUGUCAAAUUUCCAAAUAUCCCAUGAAUUCAGAUCAGAUUAGUUAUACGUUUCCUAGUAGUGUAUGGUUAGAUUCUUUAUAACAUAUGAAUGUAUCACCUGUGUAGACAUAUGUACAAUGGGGAAUAUUUCAGAGUUGGAGGCAAUAUUGAGAUAAAUUUGUAUUAUCUUAGAGGAGUUUAGUCAUGGAUGUUGGCCGGCUUCUGUUUUCAGAUUAAACCAGUGGCUCUAACUUGUUUGUUUCUGAAUGUAAUAAUGCGUGUAAUGCUGCAAAUCCUGUAGAAUUAUUACAGUUAGUUCUAUGGUAGCAAGAAGACCAAUAAUAAUAAUAAUCAACGUCGAAACAUAAGAGUGUACUAUUCUUUAUAUGAGCUGUAUUCUUAAUACUAGGAGUUGUAUUCCUGCUAGAAACAAUUAGACUUAGACUACACUCAACUUUUAAACCCAUUUAAGAGUAAAACUAUCGUAGAGAAGUCACAUUCGAACAGGUUCAAAUUUGGUUACAUGAUUACCUGCCCUCAAAGUCACGUUGGUGAGAUAAGAGGAAUCCAAACAAUUCCUAAUUUGUUUACAUGGUUCCUACAGACAUGUACCAGAAGCUUAUGUUUGUGCAAACUUGUGUGACAUUUCAGACAAUCACUUGUUGAGGUCUGGAUACAUGUUCAUAAUGUGAAAUAGAAGCAGACCUUUGACUUAGGUUAGUCAGAAAUCAGAAUCCAGUACGCUUCAACUAUGCUCCCUAAUCAUAACAUUUAGGUCCGAGAAUGUUCAUAUACUUAUUCGAGCUACUUUGACUGAGAUGGGUUAUUUGUAUUUGCAACAACAUAUGUUAUGUCUGCUUAGUCGGAAAAAUGCCCGCAGAACAAUUAUACUCCUACCAAGUAGCACGCUGGGUGGGGUGCAAAUAGACUGAAACUUGUUCUGCAUCGUAAAUUCUGUAAGCUAAACCUCUCUGCAUCGUUUGAUUUACAGGCCGUUGAUCCUAACCAGCUGCGUGCAAAUGGAUUGAUUGCUGCUGAAUGUGAACCAUGUGUGGGGCUACUGAAGGUCUUCCCGGAUGCUGAUAAACCUUGGCCAUCUUCUCAGUUAUUGGUCUUUCCUUUGUGUUUCCUUGUUUUACCUUGCUGUUGACAUCUGGUGCUAUAGAGCAACAAACAGCAGAGUAUCAAAGAGAAGCAUGGUAACACAGCUGGACCUCCCCUGCAAAUUCUUGUGACAAUUCAUAUAUGUUCAUGUUGUAUGUCUCCUGUCAAAGUUUCUUAUGCUACGAGGACAUGUAUGUUUUUCUCAUUCUUGUGGGAAUUUCGAGCCGUUUCUGUCGAAAUUUCAACUGUCCAAACAGGGCUGCAUAAUGCAAAUGCAGUAUCUACACUACUUAUAUUGCUGUAUUUUCAUGUCUUUUUUUUGUUUUUUUGAAAUAAAACAUUCUUCCAUGUUUUAUUUGUUUUUGAUUUUGAAAUAAAACGUUCUUCCAGAGGCCGUUG
rnacentral:lncRNA from 1 species